UUAAGCGACUAAGCGUACACGGUGGAUGCCCUGGCAGUCAGAGGCGAUGAAGGACGUGCUAAUCUGCGAUAAGCGUCGGUAAGGUGAUAUGAACCGUUAUAACCGGCGAUUUCCGAAUGGGGAAACCCAGUGUGUUUCGACACACUAUCAUUAACUGAAUCCAUAGGUUAAUGAGGCGAACCGGGGGAACUGAAACAUCUAAGUACCCCGAGGAAAAGAAAUCAACCGAGAUUCCCCCAGUAGCGGCGAGCGAACGGGGAGCAGCCCAGAGCCUGAAUCAGUGUGUGUGUUAGUGGAAGCGUCUGGAAAGGCGCGCGAUACAGGGUGACAGCCCCGUACACAAAAAUGCACAUGCUGUGAGCUCGAUGAGUAGGGCGGGACACGUGGUAUCCUGUCUGAAUAUGGGGGGACCAUCCUCCAAGGCUAAAUACUCCUGACUGACCGAUAGUGAACCAGUACCGUGAGGGAAAGGCGAAAAGAACCCCGGCGAGGGGAGUGAAAAAGAACCUGAAACCGUGUACGUACAAGCAGUGGGAGCACGCUUAGGCGUGUGACUGCGUACCUUUUGUAUAAUGGGUCAGCGACUUAUAUUCUGUAGCAAGGUUAACCGAAUAGGGGAGCCGAAGGGAAACCGAGUCUUAACUGGGCGUUAAGUUGCAGGGUAUAGACCCGAAACCCGGUGAUCUAGCCAUGGGCAGGUUGAAGGUUGGGUAACACUAACUGGAGGACCGAACCGACUAAUGUUGAAAAAUUAGCGGAUGACUUGUGGCUGGGGGUGAAAGGCCAAUCAAACCGGGAGAUAGCUGGUUCUCCCCGAAAGCUAUUUAGGUAGCGCCUCGUGAAUUCAUCUCCGGGGGUAGAGCACUGUUUCGGCAAGGGGGUCAUCCCGACUUACCAACCCGAUGCAAACUGCGAAUACCGGAGAAUGUUAUCACGGGAGACACACGGCGGGUGCUAACGUCCGUCGUGAAGAGGGAAACAACCCAGACCGCCAGCUAAGGUCCCAAAGUCAUGGUUAAGUGGGAAACGAUGUGGGAAGGCCCAGACAGCCAGGAUGUUGGCUUAGAAGCAGCCAUCAUUUAAGAAAGCGUAAUAGCUCACUGGUCGAGUCGGCCUGCGCGGAAGAUGUAACGGGGCUAAACCAUGCACCGAAGCUGCGGCAGCGACACUAUGUGUUGUUGGGUAGGGGAGCGUUCUGUAAGCCUGUGAAGGUGUGCUGUGAGGCAUGCUGGAGGUAUCAGAAGUGCGAAUGCUGACAUAAGUAACGAUAAAGCGGGUGAAAAGCCCGCUCGCCGGAAGACCAAGGGUUCCUGUCCAACGUUAAUCGGGGCAGGGUGAGUCGACCCCUAAGGCGAGGCCGAAAGGCGUAGUCGAUGGGAAACAGGUUAAUAUUCCUGUACUUGGUGUUACUGCGAAGGGGGGACGGAGAAGGCUAUGUUGGCCGGGCGACGGUUGUCCCGGUUUAAGCGUGUAGGCUGGUUUUCCAGGCAAAUCCGGAAAAUCAAGGCUGAGGCGUGAUGACGAGGCACUACGGUGCUGAAGCAACAAAUGCCCUGCUUCCAGGAAAAGCCUCUAAGCAUCAGGUAACAUCAAAUCGUACCCCAAACCGACACAGGUGGUCAGGUAGAGAAUACCAAGGCGCUUGAGAGAACUCGGGUGAAGGAACUAGGCAAAAUGGUGCCGUAACUUCGGGAGAAGGCACGCUGAUAUGUAGGUGAGGUCCCUCGCGGAUGGAGCUGAAAUCAGUCGAAGAUACCAGCUGGCUGCAACUGUUUAUUAGAAACACAGCACUGUGCAAACACGAAAGUGGACGUAUACGGUGUGACGCCUGCCCGGUGCCGGAAGGUUAAUUGAUGGGGUUAGCGCAAGCGAAGCUCUUGAUCGAAGCCCCGGUAAACGGCGGCCGUAACUAUAACGGUCCUAAGGUAGCGAAAUUCCUUGUCGGGUAAGUUCCGACCUGCACGAAUGGCGUAAUGAUGGCCAGGCUGUCUCCACCCGAGACUCAGUGAAAUUGAACUCGCUGUGAAGAUGCAGUGUACCCGCGGCAAGACGGAAAGACCCCGUGAACCUUUACUAUAGCUUGACACUGAACAUUGAGCCUUGAUGUGUAGGAUAGGUGGGAGGCUUAGAAGUGUGGACGCCAGUCUGCAUGGAGCCGACCUUGAAAUACCACCCUUUAAUGUUUGAUGUUCUAACGUUGACCCGUAAUCCGGGUUGCGGACAGUGUCUGGUGGGUAGUUUGACUGGGGCGGUCUCCUCCUAAAGAGUAACGGAGGAGCACGAAGGUUGGCUAAUCCUGGUCGGACAUCAGGAGGUUAGUGCAAUGGCAUAAGCCAGCUUGACUGCGAGCGUGACGGCGCGAGCAGGUGCGAAAGCAGGUCAUAGUGAUCCGGUGGUUCUGAAUGGAAGGGCCAUCGCUCAACGGAUAAAAGGUACUCCGGGGAUAACAGGCUGAUACCGCCCAAGAGUUCAUAUCGACGGCGGUGUUUGGCACCUCGAUGUCGGCUCAUCACAUCCUGGGGCUGAAGUAGGUCCCAAGGGUAUGGCUGUUCGCCAUUUAAAGUGGUACGCGAGCUGGGUUUAGAACGUCGUGAGACAGUUCGGUCCCUAUCUGCCGUGGGCGCUGGAGAACUGAGGGGGGCUGCUCCUAGUACGAGAGGACCGGAGUGGACGCAUCACUGGUGUUCGGGUUGUCAUGCCAAUGGCACUGCCCGGUAGCUAAAUGCGGAAGAGAUAAGUGCUGAAAGCAUCUAAGCACGAAACUUGCCCCGAGAUGAGUUCUCCCUGACCCUUUAAGGGUCCUGAAGGAACGUUGAAGACGACGACGUUGAUAGGCCGGGUGUGUAAGCGCAGCGAUGCGUUGAGCUAACCGGUACUAAUGAACCGUGAGGCUUAACCUU
rnacentral:rRNA from 1 species